AGUGAACGCUGGCGGCGUGCCUAAUACAUGCAAGUCGAACGGAGUGGCGCACGGGUGAGUAAUAUAUAGCUAAUCUGCCCCUUGCUGGAGGACAACAGUUAGAAAUGACUGCUAAUACUCCAUAGCAAGGGAUGAGACUAUAUCGUAUCAGCUAGUCGGUGGGGUAACGGCCUACCGAGGCUAUGACGAGUAACUGGUCUGAGAGGAUGAUCAGUAAAAUUGGAACUGAGGCACGGUUCAGAAUCAUAGGGGAAGCAGCGGUAGGGAAUAGUGCGCAAUGGGGGAAGCCCUGGCGCAGCAACGCGGCGUGGAGGAUGACAAGUUUCGGAGCGUAAACUCAUUUUGUUAGGGAAGCGGUUCCUGACGAAUAAGCACCGGCUAACUCCGUGCCAGCAGCCGCGGUAAUUC
rnacentral:rRNA from 1 species